GAAUCCUGGCAAAGGAAUUGCACGGAAAUGCAGUUACAAACAAGAGGGGAAGACACACAGAGGCACGAAGAGAACUAGAGAAAAGUCAAGCAUGGCUGGUUCCUCAGCUAUAGCUGGUACUACCUUAAAGAGAUUCACCUCCAUGAUAAUUUGAAGAAGGUAACACAAAAAUUCGCCACUGAAACAUCUGAAGAAGGCAAGUUUGUUUACAAACUUUGUUUCCACAAAACACCGUAUCUUCAGUAUCCCAAGUUCACAGAAAUGUGGGAAUGCUGUCCUGACAGGCUGCAGUGGAACUAAUGACUGACAGAAUGACUCUCCUGGUGCUGUCCUCCACAGCUCCAACCUCACAGCACCUUAGGCUUGCACAUUCCAGAUGCAAGCAAACCCACAUGCAGAUUUUACACAAACACUUCCAAAAGAGUUAAGGACAAAUGCAAAAAGAUAACACAAAGAGAUUGUACUCCCAACUCCAUAGAGGAAAAAUUCAACAUUCUGGCAAGAAAAUGAUACAUAGUCUACAGUAAUAAAAUAUAAUUAACUACUACUUUAUGAGUAGGAAUAUGUGAACAACAGGUUCAAAGUGCUGAAGAUCCCCUACUUUAUGAGAGGCUACAUUGACUCUUCAGGAUGUUUUGGCAAAAAACCACUUAGACCUGCCAAGCUACAAAAGUCCAUAAAUAAACCCUCUUUCAUAAUCAAAUAUUAACAUCAGCCUUCUGUAGGUUUACAGCUGCUGUAUGUUACACAGGACUUUGCACGCCAUGUCCUUAUUCAGUAUCACACUUUCUUCCUGGCUUCUUUUAUGAGGAAAACAAUGAACAGGUAUAAAGUUAAUGCAUGAAGAAUCCAGUACCUUAGAUUUUUUGGUCCUCUUGUCAUCAUCUUCAUCUUCAGAGUGGUGGUGCUUUUUCUUCUUCUGUUUUUUAGCCAAGUGCGACUGACUUGUGUGAGACUCUUCUACAUCCUCAUCCAGCACAAGGUCAUACUUGGCACUGAUGGUGCUGGUUAAGGACAGACCUGUUUCCCAGUAUCAGCAAGGAGCAGAACAAACAGCCUGGGAAGCAAACCAAUCCCUGUUUAUCUGACAUGAGUUCACCAAGACUGAACACAUAUUUCAGUCAGAACACAGUUGUACACACUUUAGAAAAAAAAAAUCAGCUGUGCUAAAAGGACUGAAGUCUGUCCUGUUAAACAAUACAGCCAGGCUGCAUUCUCCUUUCUUUUCUACCUGUGGAUAUCUGAACAAGCUAUGGCAUUUUCUC